CGAAGCUGAAAAAUGUGGUUGCAGAACAAAAGGAGUCUGUUCAAACUCAAAUGCAAAAUGAGCUGGCUGAAAAGACAAAUAAAAACUGCACCAUCACAGACAAGAAAACUGUUGAACCGGAUACUGUUCAUUUUAUUGAAUGGCCAUUAGAUCGAUUGCAGACCUUAAAUGCCGUGAUUAACCAAAUGGAAGUUGGGGAUCAGAAGAACAUCCACAAAACUGAUCCUUGGACGGACAUCUUAAAGAUUUAUUGGAACGGGGAUUUUCACAAGUUUUAUGAAGCUGUACAAAGUGGCAUAUAUCAAAGCAUAAUGGAAGAAGUUCUUGUUUACUCUGCGAUGAAAGAGCCUGUAAUACUGAGGCAAAUUGUAAAUGAUGCACGUAGCAAAGUCAGUGAGAAUUUUCACGUUUUAAAACACAACGAAGAGCCACCAAAGAUGACGUACAAGUCGUCUUGGUUGAAUCUUAAUGAAAACGUUGAUGACAUUGACAAGGAAUCUGGUUACUCUUGGUUUUAUAAGCCUUUUCAAAAUGUUUCUGAACAUGAAGCACAAAACUUGGCAUGUGAAACACCAAGCAAAUUGCAAGAAGCCACUGAAAAGCCAUCAUCGAUUAGGUGCAAACAAUUACCUUCAGAGGUAGAGAACAAAGUACCUACAGACAAACCAACAUCAAACAAUGAGAGUCUACAUGAAAAUGUGCCUGUUUCGUUUAAUGGACAAUCUUCAUCUGUGACUGACAUCAACUGCUCACCAAUGCAUAAUUGUCAGGUUACAGAAGUAACCAACAGUCAACCAAUUAUUACAAAUUCUCUGGAGGCCAUGAUUACUGUUGUGAAGGAUUUGGAUAAGCAAGGUGUCCCGACUGGAACGUCCAGUUUGGAUGACCAAUUUUGUAACGAUGUUGGAGCCAAAAGUGUUGUGUCGCCCAAAUCAACUGGCCAAAGUGACUGUACGAACUCGCCAAAGCCCAUUCAUGUGGUUACAGAAGAACAGGUGAUGGAGUUAUCUUCUCAAAUGCAAGUUGGAUUCAGUGAGAAAAUGCAUAACAAUGGCUGUGCUGUCCCCAGUAAGAACGUGAGAUGUGAGACCUUGCCAAAACAGAGUCAAGAACUUUGUGCACACAUGAAUGAAAAGGAGACUGAAAAGAUGUAUGCUUCAGCCACUAAGUUGAUAGAACAAAAAGUCAUUGCUGCAUUACUAGACAAGCACAAGGCGUCUUUGUUGAACACACCCCAAGUACUUGACACAAUAUCAACAGAAGAACAAGCAAGCAGGCAGAGGCUAAAGGAGAAGACCAAAUAUCCAGCAUCCACAUUUCUAAGGACAUUGCUAUCAGCUCCUUAUAAGCCAUCUUUAGCUGAACGUAAUCAGGGUGCAACGGAAAUUACAGACAAAGUACAAGAAGAACACAUGUCCUUGGAGAAAAGUAGGAACGAUGAGAGUUGUGAAAAAUCUCCUGUUCCCUUGAAUGCUCAGUCUCCACCAGUGAUUGAUAAGUUCUCUCUGAAGCUUAAUGAACAACAAACUAGUUGUCAACCAAAUACUGUUAAUCCGCUGAAGGGCAUGACAAAUCUGGUGAGGACAUUGGAAAACUGGGAUGUUUCGUUAAAGUAUCAAAACUCCACUGGAAAACAUGGUGGUUUAAAAAGAAAGCAUAAACAGUUAUCUAGAACAUCAAAACAGCACAACAAUUUUUGUAAUCAUGUUGGAGCCAAAAGUCCCAUGUUGACUGAUGAAUCAUCCAGCCAAAGUGACUGCUCAAGUCCACUGACACGUAGUCCUGUGAGGUUUGUUCCAUUAACUCAAGUGCAAAAUGAAUCCAGUGAAAUGAUACCUAAUAGUGACUUUGAUAAGGCUGUGAGAUAUGAGACUGUUCCAAAACCUUGUCAAGAACUUUGUGUACAAACGAAUGAAGAGAUGAUUGUUGAGAUGGAUGCUUCAUCUUCUGUUAAGCUUGUUGUUCUCACUCAGGAAGUGGCUAAACAGUACUUUGCUGAAAAUAAAGACAUUGCUGCAACACCAAAGACUGCAACAUUAAGGCUGGAUGACCCUGUUUGCAGUCAAACCAAAUGUCCAGCAUUGGCUGAUGGAUCAACCAGCCAUUUUGACUAUGCAAGUCCCCCAAAACUUUAUCCUGUGCUCGCAGGACCAUCUCAAAUGCAAAAUGAAUCCGAUGAAGAAAUGCCUGAAAUUGAGUGUUUACUCUCUAGUGAGUCUGUGAAAUGUGAGACUGAUCCAAAACCCAGUCAAGAACUACCUGUGCAAAUGAAUGAAGAGGACGUUGAUGAGAUGCAUGCUUCACCACCUAUUAGGAUUAAUGUUCUCUCUCACAAAGUGGCUAUGCAUUGCUUUGCUGAUCAGUUCAUGCAAGAUAAAGACACUGCCACACCACCAGUGGUUGUGAAACAAACCAAUUGCCAAUCAAAUAUAGUAAAUCCACUGAUCGCAAUAACACAUCUGGUUAGGGCAGUGGGAAAACACCAAACUGGAAAAUCUGACCUUUUGAAAAACAAGCAUCAAACCUCAACUGCAACAUUGAGUCUUAAUAAGCAUUUUUUUAAUGGAGACAAAAGUCCAGUGUUGACUGAUGGAUCAGCCAGUCCAACUGGCUAUGCAAGUCCACUGACACUUCAUCCUGUGCUUACAGAACCAUCUCAAGUGCAAUCAGAUGAAGAAAUGCCUGAAAUUGCGAGUCUACUCGCAGAUAAGUAUGUGAGAUGUGACACUGAUCCAAAACAAAGUCAAGAACUUCCUGUGCAAAUGAAUGAAGAGGAGACUGUCAAGUUGGACACUUCAGCUUGUAUAAAGAUUAAUGUUCUCCCUUAUGAAGUGGCUAAGCAAUGCUUUGCUGGUCAAAUGAUGGAAAAUAAAGACAUUGCUGCACCACCAGAGACAAUACACAAGGCCUGCUUGUUGAAUUCACCCCAAGACACAG
ensembl:lncRNA